GCUUUCCGUGACAGAACAACUGCAAUAUUCCACGGAGAAGUUGGAUUUCCAUGGAAUAACAACACAUUUGUACGGAGAAGGUGCAAGUUUCUACGGAGAAGGGUUGGCCCGUAUGGGCCACCGUAGUGGCCUGACGUGAGCGAGUUAAAAUUUUCGUGGACGUCAAACAAUAAGGGAAACGACUAGAGUUACGCUUCUGGUAUAACUUCCUAUUCUGUGCUGUAAAGAUGUGUCACUCUGCGAAAUUUAUGUCCGAGAUUUUUUAUAGCCGCCAUUUUGCCAGUAAGUGUCAAAUUCAACGCCAUCAGUCUCGCCGCCAUUUUGGCAGUAAGUGAAAAUUACGGACACGCAAACAUUAGGGAAAUACGUCGAGUGACACAUCUUUAUAGUAUCUAAUCUUUGGCGUGAGCGAGUUAAAAUUUUCGUGGACGUCAAACAAUAAGGAAAAUGACUAGAGUUACGCUUCUGCUAUAACUUCCUAUUCUGUGCUCUGGGGA